UACGAAGGGGGCUAGCGUUGCUCGGAAUCACUGGGCGUAAAGGGUGCGUAGGCGGGUCUUUUAAAUCAGGGGUGAAAUCCUGGAGCUCAACUCCAGAACUGCCUUUGAUACUGAAGAUCUUGAGUUCGGGAGAGGUGAGUGGAACUGCGAGUGUAGAGGUGAAAUUCGUAGAUAUUCGCAAGAACACCAGUGGCGAAGGCGGCUCACUGGCCCGAUACUGACGCUGAGGCACGAAAGCGUGGGGAGCAAACAGG
rnacentral:rRNA from 1 species